GGCUGGUCUGAAGGUGGCGAGUUAUCGCACUUGACUGUUCACGGUCAGUUACAGAUUGAACUCCUUGGUCUACUCUUUCCCCCGUUCUCACUACUGCACUUGACUUGUCUUUA
ensembl:misc_RNA Y_RNA Y RNA